UCCAAAACCCUAAACCCUUAUAAAUACCCCUGGAAAAGCACAAGUCAAAUAAACACAACAGAAGCCGAAAGGGGUGCAAUUCGGCGCAGCUUUCUGUACCGUGUUUGAAAGGUUUUACCUUUUACAUGAAAUGCGCUAGAGUUAAUGGGCCUUUUUCUCAUUGUGGCACAGUCAAUUAAAGGCACAGCAGGCCCAUUUUGCUGGCUUCUUCUCUAACAAUAUGCCAUUCUUUAGGCGUACGCGUUAGUAGCACAGAGACAGAGUCACAGACACAGACGAUGCUGCAAAAGCUUCAGGCUUUUCCGACCCCUAUGGCCUGCACUCUGUGCUCAAAGUACAAGCUCCCGCCAAUGCCAUUCAUGGCGCUUCCAUCACUUCUCUGUAAGCCAAUGCUGCGUUGGAGAGCAGCGAUUGGUCCUUUCAGGCUAUAUAUAUAUCUUGCACUCAGUUGGAUUCAUGGCUGGGAAAUGCUCCGUGUUUUUCAAGUUUUUGGUUCCUGGGUUCAACAAAAGACUUUCACUUCCAGUAGCUUUCAGUAGUUCUCUGAGUGAAAAGAAACUGGAUAAAGCAGUUAUUAAAAGCUGCUUGGGGUCUUGGUGUGUGAGACUUGGCAGGAGUGUUGAUGGAGUACUUUCUUUCGAAGAAGGUUGGGAAGUUUUUGUGAACCAUCAUGGCCUGAA